UACGAAGGGGGCUAGCGUUGCUCGGAAUCACUGGGCGUAAAGCGCACGUAGGCGGAUUCCUAAGUCGGGGGUGAAAUCCUGGAGCUUAACUCCAGAACUGCCUUCGAUACUGGGAAUCUUGAGUCCGGAAGAGGUGAGUGGAACUGCGAGUGUAGAGGUGAAAUUCGUAGAUAUUCGCAAGAACACCAGUGGCGAAGGCGGCCCACUGGUCCGGUACUGACGCUGAGGUGCGAAAGCGUGGGGAGCAAACAGG
rnacentral:rRNA from 1 species